rnacentral:rRNA from 1 species
AUUGAACGCUGGCGGCAUGCCUUACACAUGCAAGUCGAACGGCAGCACGGGGCAACCUGGUGGCGAGUGGCGAACGGGUGAGUAAUGCAUCGGAACGUACCUUUCAGUGGGGGAUAACGUAGCGAAAGUUACGCUAAUACCGCAUAUUCUGUGAGCAGGAAAGCAGGGGAUCGCAAGACCUUGCGCUGAUUGAGCGGCCGAUGUCAGAUUAGCUAGUUGGUGAGGUAAAGGCUCACCAAGGCGACGAUCUGUAGCGGGUCUGAGAGGAUGAUCCGCCACACUGGAACUGAGACACGGUCCAGACUCCUACGGGAGGCGGCAGUGUGGAAUUUUGGACAAUGGGGGCAACCCUGAUCCAGCCAUGCCGCGUGAGUGAAGAAGGCCUUCGGGUUGUAAAGCUCUUUCGGCCGGGAAGAAAUCGCACGGGCUAAUACCCUGUGUGGAUGACGGUACCGGAAUAAGAAGCACCGGCUAACUACGUGCCAGCCGCCGCCGUAAUAC